rnacentral:rRNA from 1 species
AUGGCGAACGAGGUGUGCAUGCGUUCACCUUUUGAUCUCAUCCAGAGUUGUGAGCGGUUUCAGAAACGUGGCCAUGGGUUUGCUGAGGAGGGCACAAGCAAGAAAAAGUUAGCUACUUCACCAUCUCCAUCUUCUAUGGCAGGCGGACAGGCUUCAUUGUCGAGUUCUGAUCUCAUGCUGAGUUGCGAAGGAUUUCAAAAGCAUGGCUAUGAGUUCCCAACGACACAUGUCAGCCAUCGGUUGCUUUACACCACUGGUGCUGAAAGUUGCCUCAGUGAUAAUGGCAACGCCACUGCUGCUAAGGACAGCCUUAGCAACAAUCUCGACCUAAAAAAUGAUGACAGUCUUGGAAACAUCCCUUGUUACGAUGAUUUUCUCCCUCUUGAGGAUGAUUCCGGUGAUACGCUUACACAUGAUGAUGCGAUAGGAAUUAUCCAAAGGGUUAGUCCUAUGGAAUAUAUCAAAAGGCUACUAUUGAAGAGAUCUGCGUUGAGUAUCUCUUCUGCUGAGUUAGGUGUCAAUACGAAGUUAAGUAUGAUUCCAGAAUCUUCAAGAGAUUUUAGGCAUAGUGGUGAUCUUUGUUGGCACGAGUAUUAUCACAUGAGUGAAGUAUCUCAGACUGUUUUGCCACCAAAGCGAUAUACUCAGUGCGAACCAUUGACUGCGGUGCGGUGCUUUCACGAGCCACAGGCUAUGCUCCAGGUUUUUUCUAUCAAGCUGAAGGCAUAUCUCCAAGCUAUAGGCAGUUCAGUCGAUGUAUAUGGUUUUGUUGCAGUCCGGGAUGGUGAGGAUUAUCACCGAAAUUAUCUUUUCAAUCGACCCCGAACUGACCCAGUGACCAUCAACACGACCAGCGACUACCUGCCUUUGAUGAGUCCGAUAAGAGGCAUGUCCAUGACAUUUGAAUGCUUGAUCGAAGUUGAUAUCAGAAUAAAGGGAGAUAUAGAAGAUGUCACUCUAGUCGAUGGGUGUUCCGAUCUUAUUGAGAGUCAUUGUCUAUAUGACACAGAAAUUGAGUGCACAAUGGAUGAUACAAAUGGUGCGGCCAUGUUUGAUUUUAUCAUCUUUCGUAGAGCGCUCGAGGCGACGAUAGAGUUGAAUUUCACGAAGGUGCCUACAGGAGGCAUGGAGGUGAAGAUGUGUGGGUACACGGCGAUCUCGAAGAGCCUUUAUGACUUCAUGGGCGAGCAGCGUGAGUGUGAUCGGUUCGUUACCUCUGCUGGGAAACAUCCACAGUACUUCAUAGCAGCUGUGCCGUUUGAAGAUACACUGUUUGUUGACUUCAUGGAGGGAAAGCUGUCGAUUCCUUUCAAGGCAGCAGUUCAUGGCAGCCAAGAGAGAGAAUACCAUUUGAGCAACGGUGCCGUGGUGUCGGUGACGGUUUCUUGGUCGUCGACCUAUUACUGA